CCUACGGGAGGCAGCAGUGAGGAAUAUUGGUCAAUGGACGAGAGCCUGAACCAGCCAAGUAGCGUGAAUGAUGACUGCCCUAUGGGUUGUAAACUUCUUUUAUAUGGGAAUAAAACAGGGUAUGCAUACCCUCUUGUAUGUACCAUAUGAAUACGGAUCGGCUAACUCCGUGCCAGCAGCCGCGGUAAUACGGAGGAUCCGAGCGUUAUCCGGAUUUAUUGGGUUUAAAGGGAGCGUAGGUGGAUUGUUAAGUCAGUUGUGAAAGUUUGCGGCUCAACCGGAAAAUUGCAGUUGAAACUGGCAGUCUUGAGUACAGUAGAGGUGGGCGGAAUUCGAGGUGUAGCGGUGAAAUGCUUAGAUAUCACGAAGAACUCCGAUUGCGAAGGCAGCUCACUGGACUGCAACUGACACUGAUGCUCGAAAGUGUGGGUAUCAAACAGGAUUAGAUACCCGAGUAGUC
rnacentral:rRNA from 1 species